UCCGGUUUGUCACCGGCAGUCUCCCUAGAGUUCCCACCAUUACGUGCUGGCAACUAGGGACAAGGGUUGCGCUCGUUGCGGGACUUAACCCAACGUCUCACGACACGAGCUGACGACAGCCAUGCAGCACCUGUGUCCAGGUUCCCUUUCGGGCACCGCUGCAUUUCUGCAGCGUUCCUAGCAUGUCAAGGGUAGGUAAGGUUAUUCGCGUUGCAUCGAAUUAAUCCACAUCAUCCACCGCUUGUGCGGGUCCCCGUCAAUUCCUUUGAGUUUUAAUCUUGCGACCGUACUCCCCAGGCGGACAACUUCACGCGUUAGCUGCGGUACUGAGAAAUCGCUUCCCCAACACCUAGGUGUCAUCGUUUAGGGCGUGGACUAC
rnacentral:misc_RNA from 1 species